rnacentral:rRNA from 1 species
CCCGCUGAACUUAAGCAUAUCAAUAAGCGGAGGAAAAGAAACUAACAAGGAUUCCCUUAGUAACUGCGAGUGAAGAGGGAAAAGCUCAAAUUUAAAAUCUGGCAGUGUUUUGCUGUCCGAGUUGUAACCUAGAGAAGUGUAACCUGUGCUGGACCGUGUACAAGUCUCCUGGAAUGGAGCAUCACAGAGGGUGAGAAUCCCGUCUUUGACAUGGACUGCCAGUGCAUUGUGGUUGUGCUCUCAACGAGUCGAGUUGUUUGGGAAUGCAGCUCUAAAUGGGUGGUAAAUUCCAUCUAAAGCUAAAUAUUGGCGAGAGACCGAUAGCGAACAAGUACCGUGAGGGAAAGAUGAAAAGAACUUUGGAAAGAGAGUUAAACAGUAUGUGAAAUUGUUGAAAGGGAAACGUUUGAAGUCAGUCAUGUUGGCUGGGGAUCAGCCUGACAUUUAUGUUGGGUGUACUUCCUGGUUAACGGGCCAACAUCAGUUUUGACUGCCAGAAAAAGGCCAAGGGAAUGUGGCACCUUUGGGUGUGUUAUAGCUCUUGGUCGUAUGUGGUGGUUGGGACUGAGGAAAGCAGUGCGCCGAAAGGCAGGGUUUCGACCACAUUCGCACUGAGGAUGUUGGCAUAAUGGCUUUAAGCGACCCGUCUUGAAACACGG